UUAGAUCAAUCACUGUGAUUGCGCUUCAAGUUAGAAGGCGAAGGAGGAGAAGAAACCAAAUGCCUCCAAAGAUACUUUCCACUAGCCAUAUCUACGCAGGUCCAAAAUCCUUUCCCAAUGGCGCUGCACACCUGAUAAUUACAAACAAGCCAGCAAAUUACAAUUAAAAUUGAGCAAACAAAAAAUAGGGAAGAUGUGAACCUAAGAAAAUAUGGAUACUUGGGAGGAGAGAGGAACCGAAUUUGAGUCUCUGGAUAAAUCGUCGUGACUGUUGUCGGCGCCGGCGCCGGCAACAUCGUCGUCGGGAUCAACAUUAGGCUGAGAUUUGAGGUUCCGGAGAACGAAGAAUCCGGCGAGAGUUGCAGAAAGGAAGAUGAGAAUGAUCCUAAGGGGACACAUUCGGUUUGUUUCUCUCUCUAUACGAAGUUUGAGGUUUUCAGAGAGAGAAAGUUUUAAUAAUCAGAGAGGAAAGAGGGAAAUGAUGAAAUGAAGAAGGCAAGCUGAGGUGGAAAGUGGAUAAUUUUUGUAUUUUUACUCUAAAUAUAGUAUUUAUUUUAAUUAUUAUUUAUAUUAUAUUAUAUUGUUAAAUAUCGUUAUUAAUAAUAAAAAGUAUUAUUUAAAAAAAUUAUUUUGUGUCUCAUAUAACUGACACUAGUUAUGUGAGACAUUUUUCUAUCUUACAACUAUGUGGGUCUCAGAAUUUUAUUGACUCAUAUGUAUAAGAUACGGGUCCACAAAUAUAUGACAUAAAAAAAUGUCUUACACAACUAGUGUUAGUUGUAUAAGACACAUAAUAAAAUCACUCGUCAUUUUAUGUAACGGUCAAAUUGAUGUGGUUUCGUCAUUACCUUUUUUUCUCAUCUUAUCAUUAUUAUUAAGUAACUAGUAGUCGUACUAGCGCGAUGCACAGUCAAUAUUAAAAACUAUUAAUUAAAUUAAAUUAUAAUCGGACUUGUUUGAUCCAAUUGAUUUUAUUGCUUUCAUAAAAUUUAAUUAUCAUCUUACUUGUCAAUAGGAUAUACCCAAUAAUGAAAUCUCUAUUAAAUCAAAGUUACUUAUAUAGUUACUGAAUAACUUUUUUAUUCUAUAUAUUAACCAAUAUUUAAUAUUCGCUUUUUUUUGUCAUAUAUGAGAAGAUUUAUAUUACUGUUGAAUUAUUUUUUUAGUUUAAAUUUAAAAUUCUAUUGUUCUUAGUAAUAUUAUCUAAAUUUUAAGAAAUAAAAUCUUUGUUAAACUAACGGAACUUAUGUAGGGAGCGGAUUGAAUAACUUUUUUGUUAUGUAUUUUCUUUUAUCAUUUCAUCUAAUAUUUAAUAUUAUUACAUGGUUAAUAAAAAGUUUUAUUAGCAUAUUAACUUAUAAAAAAUUUUCUCUUAAACUUUUUUUAUGUCUUUAUAUUCGUUUUACUUAUUUUAAGAUAAUUCUAAAACUCCAGCUUGAAACUAAUCCCCAAUUUGAAUAGGUAAUUUAUUAUUUUUUUAAUUUUAUUUUUUAUUGUAAAACUCUAACUUAAAACUACAUCCCGAUUUGAAUGGGUAGUUUUUCUUCUCUUUCUUUCUUUCUUAUAGCUAAUUCUUUUUCUUUUAAUUUAAGAUAAUUUAUAAACUCCAACUUGAAACUACUCCCACCGAAUUUGAAUGGGUAGUUAUUAUUUUAUAUAUUUAAUUUUUUAAUUAUAUUUAAUUAUAAGAUAUCUAUAUUUAUUAAUUCAAACAAAGUAACCAAUUUUUAUAUAUAUAUAUUUUUACAGAUUACACCAUCAAUAUCACAAAGCAAACUGUACUCUAGAUUUUUCAUAUAAAAGGAAGGUAUUCAAUACAAGGGCAAUUACAAUAUUGAUGAACCAAACAACCUGAAAAACAAUCAGUUUACCCCUUAUUAGAUCAAUCACUGUGAUUGCGCUUCAAGUUAGAAGGCGAAGGAGGAGAAGAAACCAAAUGCCUCCAAAGAUACUUUCCACUAGCCAUAUCUACGCAGGUCCAAAAUCCUUUCCCAAUGGCGCUGCACACCUGAUAAUUACAAACAAGCCAGCAAAUUACAAUUAAAAUUGAGCAAACAAAAAAUAGGGAAGAUGUGAACCUAAGAAAAUAUGGAUACUUGGGAGGAGAGAGGAACCGAAUUUGAGUCUCUGGAUAAAUCGUCGUGACUGUUGUCGGCGCCGGCGCCGGCAACAUCGUCGUCGGGAUCAACAUUAGGCUGAGAUUUGAGGUUCCGGAGAACGAAGAAUCCGGCGAGAGUUGCAGAAAGGAAGAUGAGAAUGAUCCUAAGGGGACACAUUCGGUUUGUUUCUCUCUCUAUACGAAGUUUGAGGUUUUCAGAGAGAGAAAGUUUUAAUAAUCAGAGAGGAAAGAGGGAAAUGAUGAAAUGAAGAAGGCAAGCUGAGGUGGAAAGU
rnacentral:lncRNA from 1 species